AGGAGCUUGGUCCUUUGACGUGAGAGGCGGACGCGUGAGUAACACGUGUGCAACCUAGCUUAUAUGUUUGGGAUAACUCCCGGAAACCGGGGCUAAUAACGAAUAAUCUAUUUCACUUCAUGUAUGUUUGGGAUAACUCCCGGAAACCGGGGCUAAUAACGAAUAAUCUAUUUCACUUCAUGUAGUUGGUGAGGCAACGGCUCAACAAUGCCACGAUGCGUAGACAACAUGACAGGGUGAUCGGCCACUGUGACACUGACACAACUCCCACACUCCUACGGGAGGCAGAAUUAUGGAAUCUUCCACAAUGGGCGAAAGCCUGAUGGAGCAACUGCGCGUGAGUGAAUAAGGUUUUCGGAUCGUAUCACUCUGUUGGAAGGGAAGAACAUGUACACUAUUAUCUGGUUGUACCUUGACGAUACCAUAUUACAAAUCCACGGCUAACUACGUGCCAGCAACCGCGGAAAUACCUAGGUGGCAAGCGUUGUCCUGAAUUAUUGGGCGUAAAGCGCGCGCAGGCGGUCCUUAAAUUCUGAUGUGAAACCCCACGGCUCAACCGUGUAUGAUCAUUGGAAACUGGAGUCACUUGAGUGCAGAAUAGAAUUGUGGAAUUCCAAGUGAAGCGGUGAAAUGUGUAGAGAUUUGGAGGAACACCAGUGGCGAACGUGACUUUCUGGUCUGUCACUGACGCUGAGGCGCGAAAACGUGAAGAGCAAACAUGAUUAGAUACUCUGCUACUCCACGCAGUACACUAUGAGUGCUAAGUGUUAGGGGGUUUCCUCUCCCUUACUGCUGCAUCUAAUCCAUCAACCCGCUCCACCAGG
rnacentral:rRNA from 1 species